AAACAACCACAAGAACCCUUAUCCUCAGCUACACCAUCACUUGCGCAUUCAAUUUUGACUCUGUACUCUUUUCAUUUUUUUCUCUUUUUUUCCUUCACCCUAAUCAUUUACUCUGCUUUUUUUCUAUUGAAUUAGUUGAUGCAUUUUUUUUCAAUUUUUCCAUAAUUAACUAAAUGAAUGAUUUUUGUUGUUAGAGUGGAUGAGGGAAGAUAGCAAUUUUUGUUGAGGGAAGAUAACAAUUUUUCCUCAACUUAUAUUCAUUCCAAUUUUAGUUUUCAUUUAUUAAAGUUGUUAUUGAUAAUAGGCUGAUAGUGUUAGGAUGGAGGAGGAAGAAUUUGACAAGUAAAGAUCCAAGGUAAGUGAUGACUAGGAAGGAAAUAGAGAGGUCUAUUGAAUUUAAAAUUAAUCAAAGUCUCUUAAUUUAUAGAUAGAUAAUUAUAUUUCCAUAUUUUGAUUUAUUUAAAGUUUCUUAAUAGCGAAAAAUGGUUAUUUACUAGAUGAGAAGGAUGAUAUGUAAAGGAAUUGUUGGGGCUAGCAAUUUAGGAUAUGAAUAAAAAAUUUCUUACAAUCUCUUCAUUUUGGGUUACUGAUUUGUAUCCAUGAUAAGUUGUUUAUUUUCAUGGUAUGAUAGUUUGAGAAGAAAAGAAGUGUAAAAUUAGAUUUUAAAAUCAUUUGCUUAAGUUGGUUCUAUGAAUUUGUAUUUUUAUCAUUUUUAUUGUCCCUCGUGAUAAUAUAAGCUAGAUGUGGAAUUGGAUGACUAUUUGGUUGAAGGAGUUGAUAAAUUUUUAUAAAGUCAAGUAACUGAAUUGAUUGAUGUUGUCAAGGAAUUGCAAUUGGUGGUCGAAGUCAAAAUUGAGACUUUUAGCCUAGAGUGUGAUUCUAUAAAAAAUUGUUAAAAAUUCAAUCUUGAUUAAGAAGACAUUUCUGCGAUCAAACAAAUGGUUGGUUUCAAAUUUGUACAUGUACAUUUGCAAACAUGGCAGUUCAUAUUUUUAUCUAAUAUCGCUAUUUGUAUUCUCAAGUUGUUUGGCAGAUAAUAUUAUCACCUGUUUGUAAUGCUAUUAAAAAGGAUUUAAAUUGAUGGAUUAAUAACUCGCUUUUUCUUUGAAAAAGACAAAAAAAAAAAAAAACAAUGUGUAGGUUUGUAUGUUUUGAAAAGGAUAGAAAAAUGUGCAAGUUUGUAUGUUUUAUUGAUGUUGAAAAUUGUGACAGAUUUUGGCGACUUUCUAAACCUUUUCUAAUUAUUAAACUGCUAGAAGUAUUAUGACUAUUUUUUAUUUAGUCACAAUUAAAGCUAUGUUGCUAUUAAAUGUGCAAUGUAGUGUACUUAUUAUCUCUCCUUUUUUUGGUAUUAUUAUGCACACAUAGUAUUGGUUCAAAAAUCUUUGUCCAAAUCACGAUAAAUAGAGGACUAACUUCAUAAACGGAAUUUAUCUUCAUAGCAAAUUUUAAUCGUUUUGAUGCUCAAAUUUUCUCCUAUAUUUACCAAAAAGAUUUAUUACUCUUUGUUUAACUAAACUUCUAAGGGGCAAAGCACGGCCAAGAUACCUCUAGUACUCUAUAGAGGAAGACAAGCCGUAUCUCGUUUGGAAAGGGGACGAGCCUAGGGCUGCAAACGAGCCGAGUCGAGUCGAGCUUUGAGCUAAUCGAGCCGAGCCUCGAUUAAAUUUUACCAAGCUCGAGCUCGACGAGCUGGCAAUUUUCGAGCUCGAGCUCGACUCGAAUCAAGUCGAGCCGAGCUCGAGCUCGAGCUCGAGCUCGAAAAAAAUAAAAAAAAAUUAUUUUAUUUUUAAAAAAAUAAAAAAAAUAAUAUUUUUUUCUGAAUAAAUAAUAAAAUAUUAAGGAUAUAUAGGUAAUUUCACUAUGAAAAUAAAAAAUUAAAAUAUAUUUAUAUAUAAUAUACGUAAUUUUAUUAUUAAAUAAAAAUAAAAAAAAUAUAUAAAUAUAUAUACUCAAGCUCGCGAGCCGGCUCGCGAGCUAACGAGCUUAAUAUUCUGAGCUCGAGUUCGAGCUCGAAUUUGACUCGAGCUGGCUCGAGUUCGACUCGAGCUCGAUUAAUCUCGAGCUCGACUCGAGCUUGACUCGAGCCGCUCGCGAGCGGCUCGCGAGCGGCUCGAUUCGUUUGCAGCCCUAAACGAGCCACAUAUGCUUCUUUAUGUUUAUGGGGGUUGACCUAGGACCAUUAGCAUUUGACUUUCCUCCUGUGAUGCGGCAUGAUUUGGGGGUUAACAAGUUUAUUCUUAAAUAUUCUGAUUUACACCCCAAAUAGCUGCUUAAAUAUUCUGUUUUCUUUUCUUUUUUAUUAGUUUGUCUUUGCCCAAGAUAUCAAGCUUUUUCUGGUUGCUUCAGGUGAAAAAGAUGGCCGAGACUCUUGCUGGUGUCAUUCACUUGCUGCUAAGAUAUCAGGCUCGUGCAGCAUUUCAAGAGAGCGCUUCGGAGGCUGGCUGGAAACACUUUGGCUGAAAAAGCUCUAACGUGUUGCAUAUGCAGUUCUGCGUGGAAAAAUGGCCAACGAAGGAGGACCAAGUGCGCACAUACCGUUUCUUCCUCAAAUACUUGUCUGUUUCUUUUUGAGAUGGUGCAUAAAAUUGACCAACUUGAACGAAGUUUCGAGUAAAGCACAUAAAAGUAGUUGAAGUGUACAAUGCAUUGGAUAUCAAUGGGGGGAGGGAUGGGUUGGGUGGUAUGGGGGGAGGGAGUGUAAGCAAAAGGUCUCGGGUUCGAGUCCUUCUACUUACACUAAAAAAAAAAAAAAGAUAUCAAUGAUUCACGCUUCUAUUGAUGAUUUAUAGAUGAUGGGAACAGAAUGACGAUUUCUUGAAACCUUUAAAUAAGGUGACUAGCUAGCUUGGACAAGGGAAAAAAUUCAAAGAAUCAUCAGCAUUACAAAAAUGGCUGGUGAAGGAAAGAUGACACGACUAGCUUACUGGAAAGACAAGGUUUGGAGACAAGAUUUAGGGGUAGGGAAGCUGAUGAUCAGAAUGUAAAUAUCUUAGGCUCUUGAAAUGGAUUUGAUUGUGCUUACUGAACCAAUUUUGGAAGUAAUAUUGGAAAGCCUUAAACAAGAACUGAGUGGUAAAAAGUAUUUGAUGCUUCUUGAUAAUGCAUGGAAUGAGAAUCAAGGCAUGAACUUUUGCAUUGAUCUUUUUCUUUUGUCCAGAUGGAGAGUUGUAAUGAAAGGAAAAGACUGAUAAUUGCAGACCGAAGAAGUGCUUCAGAGAUUUUGACAAUGCACUAUUGGUGGAGGGACUUUAUAAUGAUAGCUAGCUUAAAGCUGUGUUCUUCAACAAAAUAACUUUCGCGAGUGAUUGAUCAAUUAAGAGCUUAAAGCUGGUGACUGCAGGAAGUAUUAUAGGGAAAAGGUGUGUAAAGAUGCUAUCAUUGAUCAUGGCAAUCGGAGAGUUUGUUGCACUCAAUUAUGAUUCCCUUACAAUGAACUUGUUUACCUUCACCAAAACAGUAGAGAAGAUUGCUUUUUUGUCCCCAGAGAUGAGAUCUGGCUUCGUUCCUGAGCUUUACAAACAUAUAUAUGAAAAUUCUCAAGUUUGGGAUUUUAUCAGGCACGUGCUCAGCAAUUUUGAGAGUUUGCUAGUUUCCUACACAUUAGAGCUAUUACUUUGACUGGG
rnacentral:lncRNA from 1 species